GACGAACGCUGGCGGCGUGCUUAACACAUGCAAGUCGAGCGGUAAGGCCCUUUCGGGGGUACGACGAGCGGCGAACGGGUGAGUAACACGUGGGUGACCUGCCCUCCAGUUCUGGGAGUAAGCCUGGGAAACCGGGUCUAAUACUGGAUAUGACCUCAUGACGCAUGUUGUGGGGUGGAAAGCCUUGUGCGACUGAGGAUGGGCCCGCGGCUAUCAGCUUGUUGGUGGGGUGAUGGCCUACCAAGGCGACGACGGGUAGCCGGCCUGAGAGGGCGACCGGCCACACUGGGACUGAGACACGGCCCAGACUCCUACGGGAGGCAGCAGUGGGGAAUCUUGCGCAAUGGGCGAAAGCCUGACGCAGCGACGCCGCGUGAGGGAU
rnacentral:rRNA from 1 species